GGGUCAGUAGGUUGGUCGUGCCACCGGUACGUACUGGUCUCACUGAUUCCUCUUUCCUGAAGAACCGUAAUGCCAUUAAUUUGGUGUUGCGGGGAAACAGGACUGUUACUUUGAAAAAAUUAGAGUGUUUAAAGCAAGCUAACGCUUGAAUACAUUAGCAUGGAAUAAUGAAAUAGGACGAUCGAUCCUAUUUUGUUGGUUCCUAGGAUUGACGUA
rnacentral:rRNA from 1 species